GACGUAGGGGGCGAGCGUUGUCCGGAUUUACUGGGCGUAAAGCGCGUGCAGGCGGUUUGCUAAGUCCCGUGUGAAAUCCUCCGGCUCAACUGGAGAACGCCGCGGGAUACUGGCGAGCUUGAGGGCGGUAGAGGGUGAUGGAAUUCCCGGUGUAGCGGUGAAAUGCGUAGAUAUCGGGAGGAACGCCAGUGGCGAAGGCGGUCACCUGGGCCGUCCCUGACGCUGAGACGCGAAAGCUGGGGGAGCAAACGGG
rnacentral:rRNA from 1 species